CUGAUUACCUGAUUGAAUUCACCUGGUCACUGCACUUCCUCUCAGUCACUCUCUCACCUUCACAUGAGGCCGCAGGCUGAUUCACCAGCCCAUGUGUGUUUUGUUGUCAUUUGCACCACCAUUUUGAGUGGAAUGACAUUUCCUUGCCUUCUAAUCGAUGCCCCAUCAUGAUAGUACUCGCGUGAUACAUGACUGGCUUCACUUCCCCCUCCCCUCUCCCAGGCAACGUCAUGAAGGGCCAGCUGCUACUCAUCAGCCUCAUCCUGCUCUGCUGUAUAUAAACCUGGUUCUUCCUACACUCGCCGCCAGAUCGUAAACUACUCUACCAUAGGUGGCACUUAAGAUGUUUGCAAUCUACCAUUAAAUGAGAGAAGAAGAAGAUCAUGGCUGUUCAGAGACACAUGGUGCCACACUGGAAGAUCUUGCUGGAUGUCAGGGGCUGUCCCAGGUUAUAAACCAAAUAUAAAAAGACUAGGAAAAUAUGUAAGCCAGGAUUGGACCCAAAUUCAGCUUUUAGGAACCGCUCACAGGAACAAGUGAGAGGAUGGAAUAUUAUCCAGAAAGGAAGUACUCAGAUUCUUCACUUAAAGUGUCAAUACAACAAUGAAGAAAUACUCCAUCACAGCUCCAGCAGGGGACCCCAAACUUCCCUUUCCCGAGCCACAUAUUCUUU